AUACGGAGGGUGCAAGCGUUAAUCGGAAUUACUGGGCGUAAAGCGUUCGUAGGCGGUUUGUUAAGCAAGAUGUGAAAGCCCUGGGCUCAACCUGGGAACUGCAUUUUGAACUGGCAAGCUAGAAUACUGUAGAGGGUGGUGGAAUUUCCAGUGUAGCGGUGAAAUGCGUAGAGAUUGGAAGGAACAUCAGUGGCGAAGGCGGCCACCUGGACAGAUAUUGACGCUGAGGAACGAAAGCGUGGGGAGCGAACAGGAUUAGAAACCCGAGUAGUCC
rnacentral:rRNA from 1 species